UCGUAACAAGGUUUCCGUAGGUGAACCUGCGGAAGGAUCAUUACUGAGUGAGGGCCCUCUGGGUCCAACCUCCCACCCGUGUUUAUUGUACCUUGUUGCUUCGGUGCGCCCGCCUCACGGCCGCCGGGGGGCUUCUGCCCCCGGGUCCGCGCGCACCGGAGACACCAUUGAACUCUGUCUGAAGAUUGCAGUCUGAGCAUAAACUAAAUAAGUUAAAACUUUCAACAACGGAUCUCUUGGUUCCGGCAUCGAUGAAGAACGCAGCGAAAUGCGAUAACUAAUGUGAAUUGCAGAAUUCAGUGAAUCAUCGAGUCUUUGAACGCACAUUGCGCCCCCUGGUAUUCCGGGGGGCAUGCCUGUCCGAGCGUCAUUGCUGCCCUCAAGCACGGCUUGUGUGUUGGGCUCCGUCCCCCCGGGGACGGGUCCGAAAGGCAGCGGCGGCACCGAGUCCGGUCCUCGAGCGUAUGGGGCUUUGUCACCCGCUCUGUAGGCCCGGCCGGCGCCAGCCGACAACCAAUCAUCCUUUUUUCAGGUUGACCUCGGAUCAGGUAGGGAUACCCGCUGAACUUAAGCAUAUCAAUAA
rnacentral:misc_RNA from 2 species